GAUCCUGGCUCAGGAUGAACNCUGACAGAAUGCUUAACACAUGCAAGUCUACUUGAAUUUGGGUUUUUUAACUUAGAUUUGGGUGGCGGACGGGUGAGUAACGCGUAAAGAACUUGCCUCACAGCUAGGGACAACAUUUGGAAACGAAUGCUAAUACCUGAUAUUAUGAUUUUAAGGCAUCUUAGAAUUAUGAAAGCUAUACGCGCUGUGAGAGAGCUUUGCGUCCCAUUAGCUAGUUGGAG
rnacentral:rRNA from 1 species